rnacentral:rRNA from 1 species
UCCCAGCAGUCCAAGUCGCAGCCACAAUUAUUGGGUCUAAAACAUCCGUAGCUCGCUUUGUAAGUCUUUUGUGAAAUCUGGCCUCUCAAGGGUCGGGCGCGCAAAAGAUACUGCAUAGCUAGAGAUCGGGAGAUGUAAGAAGUAUGAAUCGAGUAGCGGUAAAAUGCGUUGAUCCUUUUCAGACUAACAAUAGCGAAGGCAUCUUACAAGAACGAAUCUGACAGUGAGGGAUGAAGGCUAGGGGCGCAAACAG